rnacentral:rRNA from 1 species
AGUGAACGCUGGCGGUAGGCCUAACACAUGCAAGUCGAACGGCAGCACAGUAAGAGCUUGCUCUUACGGGUGGCGAGUGGCGGACGGGUGAGGAAUACAUCGGAAUCUACUUUUUCGUGGGGGAUAACGUAGGGAAACUUACGCUAAUACCGCAUACGACCUACGGGUGAAAGCAGGGGAUCUUCGGACCUUGCGCGAUUGAAUGAGCCGAUGUCGGAUUAGCUAGUUGGCGGGGUAAAGGCCCACCAAGGCGACGAUCCGUAGCUGGUCUGAGAGGAUGAUCGGCCACACGGGAAGGGGGACACGGUCCAGACUCCUACGGGAGGCAGCAGUGGGGAAUAGUGGACAAUGGGCGGAAGCCUGAUCCAGCCAUACCGAGUGGGUGAAGAAGGCCUUCGGGUUGUAAAGCCCUUUUUUGGGGAAAGAAAAGCAGCAGGUUAAUACCCCGCUGUUCUGACGGUACCCAAAGAAUAAGCACCGGCUAACUUCGUG